CCUACGGGAGGCAGCAGUAGGGAAUCUUGCGCAAUGGGCGAAAGCCUGACGCAGCCAUGCCGCGUGAAUGAUGAAGGUCUUAGGAUUGUAAAAUUCUUUCACCGGGGAAGAUAAUGACGGUACCCGGAGAAGAAGCCCCGGCUAACUUCGUGCCAGCAGCCGCGGUAAUACGAAGGGGGCUAGCGUUGCUCGGAAUUACUGGGCGUAAAGGGCGCGUAGGCGGAUGUCUAAGUUGGGGGUGAAAGCCCGGGGCUCAACCUCGGAAUAGCCUUCAAUGCUGGGCAUCUUGAGUACGGGAGAGGUGAGUGGAACUCCGAGUGUAGAGGUGAAAUUCGUAGAUAUUCGGAAGAACACCAGUGGCGAAGGCGACUCACUGGCCCGUUACUGACGCUGAGGCGCGAAAGCGUGGGGAGCAAACAGGAUUAGAUACCCUGGUAGUCCACGCUGUAAACAAUGAGUGCUAGUUGUCGGCAUGCAUGCAUGUCGGUGACGCAGCUAACGCAUUAAGCACUCCGCCUGGGGAGUACGGUCGCAGAUUAAACUCAAAGGAAUUGACGG
rnacentral:rRNA from 1 species